rnacentral:rRNA from 1 species
UACCAGCACCCCGAGUGGUCGGGACGAUUAUUGGGCCUAAAGCAUCCGUAGCCGGUUCCGCAAGUCCUCCGUUAAAUCCAGCUGCUCAACAGAUGGGCCGCGGAGGAUACUACAGAGCUAGGAGGCAGGAGAGGCAAGCGGUACUCAGUGGGUAGGGGUAAAAUCCGUUGAUCCAUUGAAGACCACCAGUGGCGAAGGCGGCUUGCCAGAAUGCGCUCGACGGUGAGGGAUGAAAGCUGGGGGAGCAAACCGG